rnacentral:piRNA from 1 species
UGAUGUCUGCCUGGUCUGUGAUGGCGUC